AAUUGUUCCUCUCCCCCACUUUCUCCUGGCACAUCAUUUGUAUGCACCAGGAGAACUUGGGCAGCUGUCCCAUGGAGGCAGAUCCAUUGUGGAAGAAACAGGAAGGCCUGAAAUAUUUGGCAGCAGACCUGCAGGACAAGACAGUGCCUGUAUCCAAUUCCAUAUCCAAAAUUAAUUAUGUUGUUUGACUAUGUGCUGUAUAAAGAAGUAGUUCAUUGUAUCUGUUCUGCACCAACCCUCAAUCAUCUCCAGUGAAUGGCCCAGGGCUCUGCUAUGAUGGAAAAGAGAGAAAAACACCAUCUUAUCCACUUUUCCCACAUCAUGCAUAAUUGCUGUUGUUACAAGGAAGCAGUGACAUGUGGCUUUGUGUAUUAUUUAUCUUGUUUUCAAUAUUGCAUGAAGGGGAAUUUGUACAUUGUCAUCUUGUAUUUGACUUAA